AACCGGGGGAACUGAAACAUCUAAGUACCCCGAGGAAAAGAAAUCAACCGAGAUUCCCCCAGUAGCGGCGAGCGAACGGGGAGGAGCCCAGAGCCUGAAUCAGUGUGUGUGUUAGUGGAAGCGUCUGGAAAGGCGCGCGAUACAGGGUGACAGCCCCGUACACAAAAAUGCACAUAUUGUGAGCUCGAUGAGUAGGGCGGGACACGUGGUAUCCUGUCUGAAUAUGGGGGGACCAUCCUCCAAGGCUAAAUACUCCUGACUGACCGAUAGUGAACCAGUACCGUGAGGGAAAGGCGAAAAGAACCCCGGCGAGGGGAGUGAAAAAGAACCUGAAACCGUGUACGUACAAGCAGUGGGAGCCUCUUAAUGGGGUGACUGCGUACCUUUUGUAUAAUGGGUCAGCGACUUAUAUUCUGUAGCAAGGUUAACCGAAUAGGGGAGCCGAAGGGAAACCGAGUCUUAACUGGGCGUUAAGUUGCAGGGUAUAGACCCGAAACCCGGUGAUCUAGCCAUGGGCAGGUUGAAGGUUGGGUAACACUAACUGGAGGACCGAACCGACUAAUGUUGAAAAAUUAGCGGAUGACUUGUGGCUGGGGGUGAAAGGCCAAUCAAACCGGGAGAUAGCUGGUUCUCCCCGAAAGCUAUUUAGGUAGCGCCUCGUGAAUUCAUCUCCGGGGGUAGAGCACUGUUUCGGCAAGGGGGUCAUCCCGACUUACCAACCCGAUGCAAACUGCGAAUACCGGAGAAUGUUAUCACGGGAGACACACGGCGGGUGCUAACGUCCGUCGUGAAGAGGGAAACAACCCAGACCGCCAGCUAAGGUCCCAAAGUCAUGGUUAAGUGGGAAACGAUGUGGGAAGGCCCAGACAGCCAGGAUGUUGGCUUAGAAGCAGCCAUCAUUUAAAGAAAGCGUAAUAGCUCACUGGUCGAGUCGGCCUGCGCGGAAGAUGUAACGGGGCUAAACCAUGCACCGAAGCUGCGGCAGCGACACUAUGUGUUGUUGGGUAGGGGAGCGUUCUGUAAGCCUGUGAAGGUGGCCUGUGAGGGUUGCUGGAGGUAUCAGAAGUGCGAAUGCUGACAUAAGUAACGAUAAAGCGGGUGAAAAGCCCGCUCGCCGGAAGACCAAGGGUUCCUGUCCAACGUUAAUCGGGGCAGGGUGAGUCGACCCCUAAGGCGAGGCCGAAAGGCGUAGUCGAUGGGAAACAGGUUAAUAUUCCUGUACUUGGUGUUACUGCGAAGGGGGGACGGAGAAGGCUAUGUUGGCCGGGCGACGGUUGUCCCGGUUUAAGCGUGUAGGCUGGUUUUCCAGGCAAAUCCGGAAAACCAAGGCUGAGGCGUGAUGACGAGGCACUACGGUGCUGAAGCGACAAAUGCCCUGCUUCCAGGAAAAGCCUCUAAGCAUCAGGUAACAUCAAAUCGUACCCCAAACCGACACAGGUGGUCAGGUAGAGAAUACCAAGGCGCUUGAGAGAACUCGGGUGAAGGAACUAGGCAAAAUGGUGCCGUAACUUCGGGAGAAGGCACGCUGAUAUGUAGGUGAAGCGACUUGCUCGUGGAGCUGAAAUCAGUCGAAGAUACCAGCUGGCUGCAACUGUUUAUUAAAAACACAGCACUGUGCAAACACGAAAGUGGACGUAUACGGUGUGACGCCUGCCCGGUGCCGGAAGGUUAAUUGAUGGGGUUAGCGGUAACGCGAAGCUCUUGAUCGAAGCCCCGGUAAACGGCGGCCGUAACUAUAACGGUCCUAAGGUAGCGAAAUUCCUUGUCGGGUAAGUUCCGACCUGCACGAAUGGCGUAAUGAUGGCCAGGCUGUCUCCACCCGAGACUCAGUGAAAUUGAACUCGCUGUGAAGAUGCAGUGUACCCGCGGCAAGACGGAAAGACCCCGUGAACCUUUACUAUAGCUUGACACUGAACAUUGAGCCUUGAUGUGUAGGAUAGGUGGGAGGCUUUGAAGUGUGGACGCCAGUCUGCAUGGAGCCGACCUUGAAAUACCACCCUUUAAUGUUUGAUGUUCUAACGUUGGCCCGUAAUCCGGGUUGCGGACAGUGUCUGGUGGGUAGUUUGACUGGGGCGGUCUCCUCCUAAAGAGUAACGGAGGAGCACGAAGGUUGGCUAAUCCUGGUCGGACAUCAGGAGGUUAGUGCAAUGGCAUAAGCCAGCUUGACUGCGAGCGUGACGGCGCGAGCAGGUGCGAAAGCAGGUCAUAGUGAUCCGGUGGUUCUGAAUGGAAGGGCCAUCGCUCAACGGAUAAAAGGUACUCCGGGGAUAACAGGCUGAUACCGCCCAAGAGUUCAUAUCGACGGCGGUGUUUGGCACCUCGAUGUCGGCUCAUCACAUCCUGGGGCUGAAGUAGGUCCCAAGGGUAUGGCUGUUCGCCAUUUAAAGUGGUACGCGAGCUGGGUUUAGAACGUCGUGAGACAGUUCGGUCCCUAUCUGCCGUGGGCGCUGGAGAACUGAGGGGGGCUGCUCCUAGUACGAGAGGACCGGAGUGGACGCAUCACUGGUGUUCGGGUUGUCAUGCCAAUGGCACUGCCCGGUAGCUAAAUGCGGAAGAGAUAAGUGCUGAAAGCAUCUAAGCACGAAACUUGCCCCGAGAUGAGUUCUCCCUGAGACUUAGAGUCUCCUGAAGGAACGUUGAAGACGACGACGUUGAUAGGCCGGGUGUGUAAGCGCAGCGAUGCGUUGAGCUAACCGGUACUAAUGAACCGUGAGGCUUAACCUU
rnacentral:rRNA from 1 species